rnacentral:rRNA from 1 species
AACGCGAAGAACCUUACCUGGGCUCGAACGGCUUAAGAUCAUCUUUGGAAACAGAGACUUCCCGCAAGGGACUUGAGUCGAGGUGCUGCAUGGCUGUCGUCAGCUCGUGUCGUGAGAUGUUGGGUUAAGUCCCGCAACGAGCGCAACCCUUGUCCUGUGUUGCCACUCCCCUUAAAAGGAAGCACUCGCAGGAGACCGCCAGCGAUAAGCUGGAGGAAGGUGGGGAUGAUGUCAAGUCAUCAUGGCCUUUAUGUCCAGGGCUACACACGUGCUACAAUGGACGGUACAAAGCGCUGCGAACCCGCGAGGGGAAGCUAAUCGCAAAAAACCGUUCUCAGUUCGGAUCGCAGGCUGCAACUCGCCUGCGUGAAGCUGGAAUCGCUAGUAAUGGUGUAUCAGAACGAUACCGUGAAUACGUUCCCGGGCCUUGUA